rnacentral:rRNA from 1 species
GACUGGAGGACUGCGUGGGAAGGCGGUAUAACCGAGGAGAUGAUGUCAUGACACGUAUUGGGUAGGCAGCCCAGUGUGAAGAAGGCAUCGUUGAGUGCUCAUGACGCGGAAGGCGAACAGUAGGAGAGCGCACGGGAUAGACACUGUAACAGUCCUUCACUUAUACGUUGGGUGCUAGUAGUGAGGGAUCUAGAUUCCCUCAGAACUGCUCCUCAUGCGUUAGAGCAUCCGCCAUGGGGAAUAUGAAAGCAAGGGUCAAGGUCCAGCGCAUUGAGGGGGGCCCGCACAAGCAGUGGAGGGUGUGGUUUAAACCUUACCUACACGAAGAACCUUACUGCGGCUGGACAUACCGGUCAUAUCGAACGAAAGCCCAUCAUCCUUCGGCGAGCCUGUACAGGUGUCGCAUGGCUGUGUUCAGCUUUAACUCCCAGGUGUAGGGCAAACUCCAGUAAUGAGCGCCACCCUUUAUUUUAGUUGAAUGUAUCUAAGAGGCCUGCCGGAGCUAAGCGGGAGGAAGGUGGGGAUGAAGUCAACUCAGCCUGGCCUUUCUGUCCAGGGCUACACACACAAUACAAUGGCCGGUACACAGCCACCUAAACCCAGAGGUGGAGCCAAUCCUGUAAAGCCGGUUUCAGUUCGAAUUGCAGGAUGCAACUUGCCUGCAUGAAGUCGGAGUUGAUAGUAAUCGCAGGUCAGCAAUAGUGCGGUGAAUACGUUCCCGGGCCACUCCACCCCGCCAGUCACGUCAUGGAAGGGGGCAACACGUCAAGCCGGUGUCCUAACCAGAUAGGGGGGCAACGGCCUAAGGUAAAACCGGUGACUGGGGCUAAGUCGUAACAAGGUAACC